UACAGAGGUCUCAAGCGUUGUUCGGAUUCAUUGGGCGUAAAGGGUGCGUAGGCGGCGCGGUAAGUCGGGUGUGAAAUCUCGGAGCUUAACUCCGAAACUGCAUUCGAUACUGCCGUGCUUGAGGACUGGAAAGGAGACUGGAAUUUACGGUGUAGCGGUGAAAUGCGUAGAUAUCGUAAGGAAGACCAGUGGCGAAGGCGGGUCUCUGGACAGUUCCUGACGCUGAAGCACGAAGGCCAGGGGAGCAAACGGG
rnacentral:rRNA from 1 species